AACGAACGCUGGCGGCGCGCCUAAUACAUGCAAGUCGAGCGAGAAGACGUAGCAAUACGUUUGUAAAGCGGCGAACGGGUGAGGAAUACAUGGGUAACCUACCCUCGAGUGGGGAAUAACUAGCCGAAAGGUUAGCUAAUACCGCGUACGCUCCUUGGACUUCGGUUCAGGGAGGAAAGCGAUACCGUGGGUAUCGCGCUCUUGGAUGGGCUCAUGUCCUAUCAGCUUGUUGGUGAGGUAACGGCUCACCAAGGCUUCGACGGGUAGCUGGUCUGAGAGGACGAUCAGCCACACUGGGACUGAGACACGGCCCAGACUCCUACGGGAGGCAGCAGUGGGGAAUCUUGCGCAAUGAGCGAAAGCUUGACGCAGCGACGCCGCGUGAGGGAAGAAGGCU
rnacentral:rRNA from 1 species